CUUUCCGGGAACCAAAAAGGCAGCGGUGAUGAUAACUCCUUUUAUCGUCUCCUUCCAGCUGUCCAGGACGGUCUCCUUUUCCCUGUUCUCCUGAGCCUACUCUUUGAUAUGGAAAACUCCUGGUCCUCCAUUCCAAAAAACAGCCUUCCAGGUUGCCUUAUAAAAAAUCUGCAAACUUUAGACCUCAGGCAAGACGUCCGCCCUAAGUGCCUUAUCUUUUUUAUACAAUAAAGCCUGGUCAGACUGUGAAUUAGAUUAGAUAACGAGUCCAGAUGGCCCACAAAUAGAUCAUUCUACUUUACAAUUUCAACUGACUUAAGCAGUUAUUGCCAGCCACUGGAAAAAAUGGAGAGAAAUUCCUUGUGUCCAGGACUUUUUGCACUCAGAUCACAAACUGACCUCUGCAAUUCUUGCUUACCUGUUCAAAUCCUUCUCCAUUCUCAUCUCCCUCAUCACCUUUCUCCUCCUGACCCUACCUCUUUUCCUCAUUGGAUCCAGCUGACUGCUGUCCACCCCUCCCAGCCCCUACCCCUCCAUCUCUACCAUCUUCAUGAACUCCCCAAGCCUCCUCGUUGUCUUCUCAGCCAUCAUCUUCCCAGCUGACAUCACCUCCAAAAUUAGCCACUUCUUUUCCUACACCGUCCUCUCCUCAGGACAACUCUAGCAUUGCUUGUACUCAUUCUCCUUCCUCACUGCCCUCUCCUGAAGCUCGUAAACCCAUCAAGUCACCUUACAUCCCUAUCUGUCCUCCACUGCCUAUCAACUCAACCCCCCUUUCCCCUUCAAACCCUCAGCAGGAACCCCUUCUGGCUUCUUCCUUCUCUCCUGCCCACACCAGCGUAGGCACCAUCUUUGGCCCAUGCACCACCCAUACUUCAGCGCUGGUGCUAGGUUCCCCACUUCAGGAAGUAGCAGGAACUGAAGGUAUUGUUAGAAUUCAUGUUCCCUUCUUCCUCACUGAUCUCUCUCAAAUUAACAAAAGACUCAGUUCAUUUUCAGAAGACCUUACCUCUUAUAUUAGGGAGUUUCAGUACCUUAUACAGUCUUAUGAACUAACCUGGCACGACCUCUACUUAUCCUCUCUUUCACCCUCACCCCAGAAGACCGGGUCCAUAUUUGGACCCUAGCUCAGGUGUAUGCUAAUACAAUUCAUCACCAAGCUCCUGCCCAGCCUACUGGCACAGAGGCAGUCCUGAACCAGGAAUCCCACCAGGAUUGUCAAGACAGGGCCUCUGGACACUGCCAUCAAGACCACAUGAUUGUGUGUCUCCUUUCAGGACUCAAAAAGGGUUCCCAUAAAGUCGUAGACUAUGAAAAACUUUCAGAAAUCACCGAAGGUGCUGACAAAAACCCAACCCUUUUUCUCUUCUGUUUAACUGAAGUCAUGAGAAAAUAUACCAACCUAGACCCAGCCAGCCCCAAAGGAACCACUAUUUUAAACCUUUGCUUCCUCAACCAAUCUACCCCUGACAUUUGGCGCAAGCUUCAGAAGCUUGACUACGGCUCUCAAACCCCACAAUGAAACCUUCUUAAUUUAGCCUUCAAAGCCUUUAAUAGUUGUGAUGAGGAAAGUAAAAGAGAGAGAGAAAAAAAAGGACAGUUUCAAAUGCUUGCCUCCACCAUCAGGGGCCCUGUAGGCCCAUGGGGCUGCAGCUCCACACAGAGGCCUCCUAGCAAUCCACCUCCACCUAGUGCCUAUUAUCAAGUGCGGCAAUGAAGGCCACUGGUCUGGGCAAUGCCCAAACCCAGGUAAGCCCACCAGGCCGUGCCCCCUCUGCAGAGGACCCCACUGGAAGUCAGACUGUAAGGAGCCCCAGCAAGGACCGCCCCCUUGCCUGCCCCAGCCGGCCAAAACCUCCUUCUCCGAUCUCAUCGUCCUUGCUGCUGAAGACGGACAGUGACCUGGAACAGACGCCCCAGCAACUACCAUUGCUUCAUCUGAGCCAAGGGUAACCCUGAUGGUGGCAGACUCCCAACAUCCAUCCAGUCCGAUAGUGGUCCUGCCUUCAUCAGUCAAAUUUCCCAAGGCAUUUUUACAUCCUUAAGAAUAAAGCACAGACGUGUAACCAGACAAUCCAGACGGUGCUCCUGCUACAACGACAUGCUGGAUACCAACCAGUUUCUCAAGAAUACCCCCAAAAUUAAGAUUUUCUUUUCCCAAGGUGCCCAUGCCAACCCCUAUGUCAUGCCUGAAGUAGUUAUUGAGAAAGUCACCCCUUUUUCCUUUAUUCUAUAACCAAAUAGACAAGGAUGAAAGAUUCUCCUUGAGGCCUGAAAGCUUGAAGGGAUGAGUAACUCCUCCUCUCAGGUGCAGUCCCAAGACGCAAGGCCACUUGUGUCAGCAGCAUGCAUCAGCAAGAGAGCAGAAGCAGGAAGAGAGCCAACUGGAAGACACCUACCCUGGCUGGAAGACACAUACCCCUGAAGAUCAAGAAAGAGGUCGUCUGGGUACUAGAUAGCAGUCACACCAGACUGGGACACUUACUGUUUACAGAGGACUAUAAAACCCCUGUCCCAUCCUCACUUGGGGCUGAUGCCAUUUUAGGCCUUAGUCCGCCUGCACCCAGGUACUCAUUAAAACAGCAUGUUGUUCCACA